CUACGGGGGGCUGCAGUGAGGAAUAUUGCACAAUGGGGGGAACCCUGAUGCAGCAACGCCGCGUGGAGGAUGACGCAUUUCGGUGUGUAAACUCCUUUUAUAUGUCAAGAAAAUGACGGUAGCAUAUGAAUAAGCACCGGCUAACUCCGUGCCAGCAGCCGCGGUAAUACGGAGGGUGCAAGCGUUACUCGGAAUCACUGGGCGUAAAGGACGCGUAGGCGGGCUUGUAAGUCAGGUGUGAAAUCCUACAGCCUAACUGUAGAACUGCACUUGAAACUACGAGCCUAGAGUAUGGGAGGGGCAGAUGGAAUUAGUGGUGUAGGGGUAAAAUCCGUAGAUAUCACUAGGAAUACCUAAAGCGAAGGCGAUCUGCUGGAACAUAACUGACGCUAAGGCGUGAAAGCGUGGGGAGCAAACAGGAUUAGAUACCCGAGUAGUC
rnacentral:rRNA from 1 species